rnacentral:lncRNA from 10 species
GCAGCAUCUGGUGGGGUUCUGUGCUACAUUACCCCAUGGUGGAAGGGCAGAGGGCAGAGGGCAGAAGAGGAAAGGCAGAAGAGAAAGACAGCAUGGGAGACAGCAAGAAAAUGGAGGCCAAAACUUAUCCUUUUAUCAGGAAUCCACUCCCACAAGAUUGCACAGAGUUCUUGAUAUUGAAGAGUGAACCAUGUUCAAGGAAGAAGAGAUCACCCCAUAAAACCCUUCCAGCUUGUGUUACAAUCAGAUGCCUCUAAGAUGGACAAAAAAGGCACACAGAGAUAUUCCCUACUCAGGCUCUGGUCAAAUCUCUCUCCACUUAAUGGAGCAUGGCUUUCAACUGCACCUGGAGGUGAGGAAGGGUAGGGGGCAGAGGG